GGAGGGUUCGCCUAGUGGCCGAUGGCGCUGGUCUUGAAAACCGGUAAGGGAGCAAUCUCUUCGUGGGUUCGAAUCCCACACCCUCCGCCG
rnacentral:tRNA from 1 species